rnacentral:rRNA from 1 species
ACAACUUUCAACAACGGAUCUCUUGGCUCUCGCAUCGAUGAAGAACGCAGCGAAAUGCGAUAAGUAAUGUGAAUUGCAGAAUUCAGUGAAUCAUCGAAUCUUUGAACGCACCUUGCGCUCCUUGGUAUUCCGAGGAGCAUGCCUGUUUGAGCGUCAUUAAA